rnacentral:snRNA from 1 species
AGCCUUGUGCAGGGGCAGUAUCAUAGCCAAUGGAGUUUAUCUGAGGCGUGAUUAUUGCUAAUUGAAAGUAUGCUUACUGGGCGCCUGAGUGGCUCAGUCGGUUAAAUGUCCGACUUCAGCUCAGGUCA